rnacentral:lncRNA from 1 species
UGGACCCCACCCUAAUUUUAGGACACAUGGCCUAGCUAGAAAAAGGUGCAGCCGUCACUUGCUUCAGGUUGGGAAGGCUUGGAACGUUUUUUCGGAUAGUUUUUCUUUGAACCAUGAUGAUAAUCUUGGAUUUUGGUUGAAGAGAAAACGCCAUCUCCAUUUUUGCACUAACUAAUGGAGAGCUUCUAGGCUUAACCAUUUUUCCUUCACGCUGUCAAAGUUCGCUGAUCAUUUUUCAAUUAGUUUUCANGCACUGUUGGAUUGAAGCCUGGUUCACGUUUUUAAUUUAGUUUAAUUGGAGAAUGAUGCACUGAAGCAANGUUGGUGUGGAGUCACGGCCUNNGAGUGCAUUGAUUUUAUUUCUNUUUGCNUUUGAUAAGAAGUAGGCGNUACUCAUUUAUUGGAUAAAGUUCAGCUGCUUCAAUGGUAAUUAAUUUGGUGGUGCAUCACGUCCAUGAAAAGGGGCUGCGUUCAUUCUCUUUUGAAAACCUACACNGUCAUUUCAUUCAGUUUUUCUUUUGAGAAUUAUUUUUCAAUUUCCUUNGAAAUAGCAAGCUAGGCAAUGUUUCUUUAAUUUAGUUUUAAUGUGUGGUGAGUAGUCCAUUUCCUUUUUAAUUGGCAUGUUGUUUCUGCUCCAAAGGUAUAAUAGCAUUUCUUUAGCUUUUAUUUAGUAAGAAGUGGAUUAGAUGGAAGUAGGUGGUGAUGGGACGUUAGAUACUUGUAGGUGUAGUUUCUUUUUUUUUUUGUUUUUUUUUGUUUUUUUUUCUUUCUUUUCUUUUAUUGAAAAAUGAAGAGUUGAAUAAAUAUUGAUAGGUGAGAUGUGGCAAGUGAUUUUACGUUGAUGGUUUUAUUUUUUUUAUUUUUUUUUCUUUAUUUNAUUUUCUUUUAUUUUAAAUUAGUUUAGGUUUUAGAUAAACUUUAUGUUUUUUUAUUUUCUUUUAUUUUAAAUUAGNNN